rnacentral:lncRNA from 1 species
CCUGUUUCUUUUACAAAUCCCUCAAAAGACCAACCCCUGUGCUAAACAGCAUUGUCAGUCAUGGACAGAGAACCAGUUAACAAAUCAGCAUCAAAACAAGUCCACGGCACAUACAUAUGUGUGUGACUCUACAUGCGAAUGAAGACAUUCGGAUUGGUACUUAAUGCAUUUUAAUAGACCAGAAAAUUCAGAUUGGUACUUAAUGCAAUUCAAAAGUCCGAGUGCUGCAAACAGCCACCACCUUUUGGGGCCAUUUGGAGACCCUUAGUAUCAAGCAGACGGUAAGCGGCAGAGUCCCUAACAGAUUUGUGCUUCUGGCAACACUUUGUAAUAAGGAACAGGAAAGGAAUGUUGAGUGGCCAAUACUUCCUAGAAAGCAUUCUGGGACAAGAAAGGAAGGAAAGAACCUUGUGAAGAUCCUCGGGCACUCGAAUACAGCAGAAUGUGCAAGUUCAGGUCCAACAACCCGUUUUAUUCAGCUAGAGGCACCCAGGAAGUGUAUCACCUUGGGGAAGACAGCUGCCAUAUUGUGAGCAGCCCUAUAAAAAGACAAGGAAAGGAGGAAGACCUCCAGUCAACAGCCAGUGAAGAACUGAGGUUCUCAGCCUAUCAUCAACAACCAGAUAGGGAAACUGAAGCAUGGGAAACUUGAGUAAGUUACUUAAUGUCACUUGGAUAAUAAACAUCGGAGCCAGGAUUUGAAUCCAGGUGAGUUGGCUCAGGAACCCACACUCUUAAUGAUGCAUUACAUUUGCCUGAUACCAGAUACAAAUAGCCACUCCGGCAAGGUCAUCUAGGUCAGUCAUUGCUCAGGUAUCACAUUCAGACACUGGGAAAGCCUGGGAUCACAGGCCUUGUCUACUACUCUCUUCGAGACACUCUCAGCAACUCACAUAGUUGGGGGUUGUUCUUUCCUAUGGCCGGCCCUACCUUGGCACUUCAACCCCCACCUCCCCAUCUUACCUACUGCCACAGUUAAUAAGGUUUAUUCUCCUUUCACAUCACCAUAACCCAUAUUAUGAAAGACCAUCAUCAAAUGUCUCUAUGUCACAUUUUUCCUAAUUUCAUUCUUUAGGGCUCAUCAUGCUUUGUACUCUCUACUAUGUCCCUCCCCUCAGACAAGAGCCUAAAAUAUUCUGAUUAGUGAUGAAUAUGUGUUCUCCGGGUGAGGCGUAUUGCUAAUAAUUAAACAGUAUUAAUUCUACCAGCUUUGAUUAUACUCUGCUCUCUCAGUAAUAAGGUUCAGUAUUCUAUUUUCAUUCUGCCUAGCAUUGAGUAAUAGAAUUGGUGUUUAAGAAUUAUCAUAUAAAUCUAUUUUUUGGUCAGCCAGUGUUGGAGGGUUUUUUUCAAUAUAUUACAAAUGUAUUCAUUAUUCCCUAGUUCAUAAAAAUAAUUAAAAGCUACAGGCCAAACACAAAUUCCCAGAACACGAAAACCUGACUGGCAUCCCACUGCCAAAUACCAAGGUUGCCAGCUUCUGAGUUUAUGGGUUUCUUAAUGAGAACUUCUACCUUCUCAUUCGAUAAAGGGCUUAGGUAGACAAUUCCUCCUGGUGUUCCUAGUAUAAUUCCUGAUAUAACCAGGAGUUGCAAAACUAAAACCCUACACAUCUAAAAUGAAACUGGCCUACUGUUAUUUUAUAUAUGUUUUUAGAAAUUCAGAAAUGACUUGCCCUAAAAUAAAACCUGUCAAAAAAAUUUCUUAAAAGUGAUUCAUAGAAUGUAAAUAACAUGUGUUCAUACUCUUCUAAAAAAGAAAGGAGGAAAAUAACAGAGAAGGAAAUACAAAUAGAUCCAAUUCAUCAUUGUGAUACCUAGGUUUCUCCUUAGAUAAAACAGACAUAAAACAUGUGCUUUACAAGUCUCAGAUGACCUUCAAGACAUCUAAGUACAGUAUCUGUGGAUUUUUAAGUAUAAUUAACAACUUGUUUUUCUAUUUAAAGAAUUUUCAUUCUGUUUCCUUAACAGGCAAAAGCCAAUCAGUCUUGUUCUCAAAUGCUAAUGUAAGUAAUUAAAAAUAACAUUAAUUGAAAUACUGCAGGGCUGUUAGGUUUUUAGAUGGUGAGUUAUUUUUUUUUCCUUCAUCUUAACCUUGUGGCAAUACUAAUUUACAUGACCAAUUAGGGAAGCACCCUUUGUAUGAUCCAUCUCUAGGAUAAAGAGCUGGGCUUUAAAAUCCAGCAAAGAACUGCAGAAGGCCACAGCACUGUAAGUAAGCUUGGGCGCCAGCAGCUAGAAUCUUUAUUUCACCUGGUAGACCAAACAUGACAGAUCGUCUUAUUUACAGUGUGAAUACUAAUUUUUUUGGUUUUGGUAACAAAAAUACAGUGCUCAUUUGUAUUGUUGUAAAACUUGUAAAUAUGCCCUGUAGGAUAAGUAAUAUUCGAAGCAACAUCCUAAUUAAAAGGAAAACUCAGUUGUCUUGCAAGAUAAUACAAAAGGGCACAUAAAUUGUAAAUAAGAUACAUGGUAAAAAUGAAAAAGACAGGCUGGAUAGGAAAGGAAUGAAAUAAGAUUCGGAAAUGUGCUUCUUAAAUGAACACAAAUUGUGAGAUAAUGUCUCACUGAACAAUAAAAAUAACAAACCAGUGGCAAAGAUGUAAUAGAAUUUCCUCUGUAUACCAUUUUAAUCUUAAUAUAAUUUUCCCCAGUGCAUCCACAUUUAUUGAACUACUACAACCAUUUCUUUCUCACUCUGUCCAAAGUUACUGAGAGUGUGUUUCUUUGCUGUAAAUAAUUCCCUGAUUAUGAACAUGAAAACGAUCCAGAAAUUGACCACAGUUUAUAAAAGAAAAAAAAUGACAGAGCAUCUGCUCAGGGCCAAAAGCCUUACAAGAAUGCCAAAAGCAUGUGCAGUUUCCUCAGGGAAGCAGGGGCUGCAUGCAAAAAACCAUUUUCCCUUCCUCCUGCAUAAGGCAACUCCACACCUCUAUUUCUUUGUUCCUGUCUUCAGAAAAUGCAGAGAAGACUUCCAUGGUACCUCAAACUACAGUUUGCCAUCAUGUGAGAAUAGGGCUGAUGCCAAGGGAAGUGCCAAGUCCAGUUAAUCAGAACCCAAAUGGCUUGAGAAAGAUGCACAACAGUAUGGCCUCAGUUUCUCAGUCUGCAAAAUGGGGAUGAUCAUAGUUAAACCUCUUAGCUUCAAGUCUAAUGGGUAACUAGGUGCUUACUGAAGUCUACUGAAAUAUGGAUGUGAAAGACCAAACUCCACAUACGUGAAGGGUUUGCUGGAGGGGAGACAUGGAGGCCAGAAGGAGCCCUGCCUCUACUCCUGACCCCUACCUUAGGAAGUUCAGUAAAAUGUCCAAUUCCAGUCAACCCCAUACCAAUCUCAGACAUUUCAACUACCGGGGUAAUAAAUCCCCACCCCACCUUUGCUUACACUGAGGUUGGUCAUUCACUUCAUGUAUUUUUUUCAUGAGGUUCUUAAGGUUCUAAACUUUAAAGAAACAUUCAAAAGUGGAAAUUAUGCCCUGCUUAUCACUUAGCUUUUAAUUUGGCACCACUCUGCCAAAUUAGGAAUCUGUUUUUUACUGAACAUCAACACUCAAAUACUUU